UACGGGGGGAGCAAGCGUUGUUCGGAAUUACUGGGCGUAAAGCGCGCGUAGGCGGCUGAUUAAGUCGGAUGUGAAAUCCCCGGGCUCAACCUGGGAACUGCAUACGAUACUGAUCGGCUAGAGUAUGAGAGAGGGAGGUAGAAUUCCACGUGUAGCGGUGAAAUGCGUAGAUAUGUGGAGGAAUACCGGUGGCGAAGGCGGCCUCCUGGCUUAAUACUGACGCUGAGGUGCGAAAGCGUGGGGGAGCGAACAGG
rnacentral:rRNA from 1 species